rnacentral:lncRNA from 7 species
AGCUCUGAUGUGUUGAUGUGGAAGCACAGAGCAGGACACAGUGCGGGCACUCUUUAACUUCUGUCUGUCAUCCAGUUUGCAACGUGCAUUGUUUGGGCUGUUAUAAAAGUCCCUUGUUAAGUAAUUGUAUUUCUCUUGCAUAAGUGGUUGCUUUCAGGAAGCCGUAGCCAAUCAGAGGCUGCAACUCAGAGAAAGCAUUCCCAACCACCGUGAUUUCUGAAAAUAAUGCCCCGGUGCUGAUCUGCUGGAAGUGCUGUAAGGGCUCUGUAGGUUGGCUCAAGCAGAGGAGACCUCAGUGCCCGCGGUGGCUGAACUACAGCGGUAAGGCGCUGCCAAAGCACUGCGCUGAGCGGAUCGUCGAUAAAAUGGACUCCAUGCCCAAGCUGAAGAUCUUUGUGAUGUUGCUGUCUCUGGUUACUUUCACAGCCAUGGUGAUAUUGAAUGCUGGGAAUGCCACUGGGCUUUUCAAAGGUCUGUUCCGGACAACCCCUGGCAACAUCUCAGAGAAGUACAGCACUGACUUCACACCGGCCGGCUGGACUUUCCUCAUCUGGAAUGUCAUCUAUGCCUGGCAGCUGGCGUGGCUCCUGUAUGCUCUGUCAGGGAUCUGCCGGAGAAAUGAACUUGGAUACGUCUUCAUGAAGCCGGACUUGCUGCCAAUACCUUUUUAUGUGGCAUGGAUUCUGAAUAAUGGCCUCAAUGUUGGAUGGCUGUUUCUAUGGGACAGAGAAUACCUCCUCCCAGCCCUGCUGUUGCUGGCAGCCCUCACCUUUACCACAGGUGCUGCUCUCUUCAUCUCGCACAGAGCCUUGAGUAUCCAUUCCACGUGGUUCAUGAAGGGUCACCAAGCUGACCUCUGGCUCAUCCGGAUCCUAGUGCAGAAUGGGCUGGCACUGUAUGCCACAUGGACCACCAUCGCCACUCUGCUGAACUUUGCUGUUGUGUUGAUCUACAAGUGGGACGUGUCCAAUGAGACAGCAACGACUGCCUGUCUGAGCAUCCUUACCCUCAUGCUUGUCAUGUGGUUUUGCCAGGAGAACUUCUUUCUCGAUAAGUACGUCCGUUAUAACCUCACCAUCUACCCAGUGGUCAUAAUAGCUCUGACUGGCAGCAUGUGCAAGGACUUCUCUGUAUCCUCCCCAACCACCAACGGUGUUUUUAUAGUUGUACUGCUGGCACUGACUUGUUUCAUCUUUGCUGUUCGGCUGGCGUUAGUCAUAUGGAAGCACAGCAAUGAACCAGUGGAAGCACCAGCACCACCACCACAGCCAUCAAGCACAGCAGCCUGAGACCUCUGGCAUGGUGAUGCUAUGUCAGAUGCUUUAGAGGGAGAAGUAAGAGCUGAGCAUCCUGCUUCCACUGGUCCUUCCUUCCAGUAGCAAUUACCCUAUUUUUUUAGCUAUUUUUCUGGUUUUUUUUUUUUUAAAUAUGCUGGAUUAGUAAGGCUUGUGCCUGCAAACCCAUCCUCCUCCCCUGUUCUCUGAGCUCAGCUAUUUGCAGCCCCACCUCAAACAUGCACCUUCCUCUGUUUCAUUUUUGGUCAGUGGAGGAAGAGGCCCUUUGGAUGAGUAGCUCUGUAUACAUUUGUGAUGACAGAGCUGCUCCUUCCAGUGUGAGGGGGGCUGUCAGCAGAUGCUUGGCACGGAGAGUUGCCCUCACCCUUUCCUGGGAGCUAUGGUGGGCAUGGGAGGAGGGAUGGCUGAAUACUUCUGACACAGCUGCAAGUCUUCGGCCUAUUUCAGGUUGCUCUAACUCUAGGAACUGACAACCUGUUCAUUUCUCGGCACACAGUAUUAUCUCUGUGACUUUCUUACUGAAGCUUGUCACUGUGUCGGUGCCUCCAUCCAUGGCCCCAAAGUAACAGCAGAUCUGUGUCCCCUACCCCACUCCUCCUUUCAGACAGGGGAGAUCCAGGUGAUAUGGGAGCAGUGGGUUACUUGUCCUGAGCUGUGCCCAGUUGGUCACUGCCUCCUUGCAGCCCUUCUGCUGGGAGAUCAGCCAUUCAGACACCACCAUACCUGAUGGAGGGUGGAGCCUGCUGCUUCAUGGAAUGCUUCUUGCAUUCUGAGCUGGGGUAGAGUGAGUUCUUCCUGGAUCAGUGCUUUAUAAUGUGGCUUCACCACUGUGGGCUUACUUUGGGAAGCCUGAAUGAGUACUGACUGGAUUGUCAGACCUCCACCUCUAUUUGCUGUGCCUACUAGAUUUGAUGGUGCCUUGUUGGUGUCUGGAAAGUCUUCCUCGAUGACUGGUGCUUGGAAAUGCUGAAUAUCUUGCAGUACUAUUACGAAGGUGAAUUCUACUAAAAUAACAUGUUAUUGUCUACAUUUAAUGAAGAGCAAAGUCUGUAUUAUGCUGUUCUUGUCAUUCCAUCACAUUUUUAAAUAAAGCAGCAACUGC